AGUCGGGAAAUGACGUAUUUCCGGUUGUGUCCGAGCCCACCUUCCUUAAUCUGAGGAUUCACGGACUCAAUCAUUUCGUCCGUGAUCAGCCAAUGAGUUGGAAGUGUCCGCGUUUGCUAAUUUGUUUUUCAAUCGUCUGAAUUAUAUUUCAAAAGUGUGCGUGAAUAUUUGUGUGCGGUAUGUUGGCAAAUGCCACCAUCUAGAUAGAUUGGCUAGAUAUUUCCCACCCGCAGCAAAUUAUCGCACCCAAGCGCGAUG